CGACAGAAAGGAACUCACAGGCGUCGAUCACUAAAUCAUCAUUGAAUCCGACAAUAUUUUAUCAUGCCAAACACCUCGUCCAAGCACAUGCGCUGGCUGCUCUCUAUCAAAACAUCUGCAAUCUUUUCAAAAUUUGAAGUAAUGACACUCAUCAUAUCGAUUAAAGUAUUGUCAUUGCACCUCCUCUUUGUGGGCUUCUUUAAACGAGACGAUGAAGAAAACAUUGCUCUGAUAUAUACUGCCAUCACAUGCAUUGUCCAAACUGGUUUAAGAUCCAUUUGAAGAAUUGGUGCCAAAGAUGACUUGCAACUUACCAAUGUUCUCAAUGUGUUUUCCCUUCAUGAAUUUGACAUUAAUAUUUGGCUUAGAAACAAAUAAAAUAUACAAAGUUUAGGUUGCUAAUAAAAUAACAAUAAUUAACAGUAGACAGACUUUCAUUAGUGAGCAUCUUUUCAGGCACGAAUUUAUACUCGUAAAAAAGUAGUUAUUUUUUAUUUGGUUGAAGCAAAACAACACUCCACAUACAAUUUGAUUCUCUAAACUAAAGUCAUCACAUUGAGCACCUACAGAUAAAAAUAUCAACUGACAUUAUUUGAAUCCUUUACAAUAAUGUAGUUAAUAGAUCUCUAGUUAUUGUAACAUAUUCAAGGUCUAUAAUAUUAUAAGGCAAGCCGAAAAAGGAGAAGAGAUAGGAAUGACAAUAAGGUAAAGAUGCAACGAUUGAUGGUUUGAUGAAAUGUUUGAUUGUUUGAAAAAAUAUUUUGUACACAAACCUUGUAGUACUUAAAGGAUCAUCAGCUUGAAUUGGUACUCAAACUCUAUCUCCAUGAUUCAUACUCAAGCAUGGUAAAAAAUAACAGUAUCUUCUCACUUUAAUAAGUAGCCUGCAAAAUAACAAUAUGUAGACUAAUGUAUUUUCUACUUUUGAACAUGAUUGAGGUACUUUGGCUAUUUAAGAAAAGGCAAAAAAAUUUCCUUCACAAUUGGUGUGAUGAACUUUACCAAGAAAGAAGUAACUUUUUGUAGGGAUGAUCAAAAAGUAUGGAUGAAAUUAAUUAAAAGACCCAUUGCUCCAAAUGAAGGUGUAAUAUGCAUAGAUAAAUUAAAUGACAUCAGUGACCAAAACAUAAUGUGAACCAGCAAAUGACUUUGAAAAUAGACUCUAUAUACAACAACAAUAAAGUCUGUGAAGUAAAUUAAGCAAAGUACAAUAUAAGGAAGAUGUUGCAACAGCGUAAGUAAUAAGAAUAAGUGAAACAAAGUAAACUCGAUUGUAUUUCUGACAAAUACUUCAUCACACACAAGGCAAGGCAUCCCAACAUAUAAAUAUUAUUGCACGUAAGCUUACUCUUUGAACUCAAGAGAUAUACAUGUAUAUACUAUAUAGAAGAAGAAAAAAAUAUUUAACAAUGUACAUGUAUAAUUUGCAGCUCAGACAAUACAUAUGCAUACUUAAAAAGCAAGGGACAAAUUUAAAAUAGUGUAUGUCCGACAUAAAGCACAAGCUUGUAAUUAACUGGUUGAACAUCUUCACAAAAAUAAACUAACCUUGCAAUCAAUCGUCCAACAUGCAACUUAAAGCACCUUAUACUGAUAAUAGAAACGUCGAAUAUAAAAUGGCAAUUACAUAUCAAGAAUAGAAGAUAAAAAUAUUAAGAAAAAGUAAUUUAAUAGAAGCGUAGCAUUAAAAAUUAGACAUUCAUAAAGAAUUGACAUGUUUUUUAAGGAUUCAGGACAUCAGAGACUUGUCAUUCUGGGAAUGUCAACCAAUAAUUCUAAUGGACUAUAUAAGCUUGAGAGUGAAUUCGUCAUGAAAACAAACCUGAAUUUCAUAUAACCAUUUUAUGGGUCAUAUAAGAGCUCAAGUUUCUUGAUAGAUGCUAGUGGUACAAACCUAAAGCACAAGUUGAACCCAAAACAACCAUACCACCAUUAUUCGCAUGAAAGAGAAACAUAAAAGUAGUAAAUUCAAACUAAUAUGCUCCAUAUAAAUAGAAAUAAGGAUACUUCACAUAAAUGAAAAUUCAUAUACAAUUGUGAAAGUAAGAUUAGAAACAGAAAGAGAACUAAGGGUACUACACAAGUAAUUUUACAUGAAAAGUUUCAUUGAAUUAAAAAUUGUUAAAAAUUUAUGAACUAUAACAGUAAAGAAGAGGAAGUACAAAAAAAUCAAUGAUGAACACGUUACCUCAAUUUACUGUUGACUAUGAUCUUGGCAUUAUUUUUUUGAUCAGUAAACUAUGAAGUGGAG
rnacentral:lncRNA from 1 species